rnacentral:lncRNA from 1 species
CUUUGCUCUCGCAGGCUCUAGGCGGCUAGAGAGGCUCCAGAGCGCCCUGCAGAUGGGUUGCUUUUCGCGUGCCCCUUGUGAUGGGAGGAUUAGGUCGCAGGCUCCACCCUACGUCAUCCUCCCAAGCUUCUCAAGCGUCUGGCGCUUGGGGUCACUGCCCUCAAGGAGGCACCUGGAGGGGGGGAUGGCGUCCACUCCGAUGGGGAAUGAGGGGGAGAAGAAGAGCAGCUGGCCAUCUCAAGCUGCACCCUCCUUGAGAGGAGGUCCGGCUUCGUUAUCUCGUUCUGAGGAAUACCUGUCCCAGAUCAGUGCAGAACUCAUGGAGGAGGCUUUGUGCACUGCUUGCUGCCACUUGAACCCUGUGCCCAUCAAAAAAAAGCAGUCACAAGACCAAGCGACUCAGAUAUCCAAACGCGCAUUCUUCACCAAGACCUGAGGCACAGACACCUGGUGAGUGAGGCUUCAAGGGAGAUACCUCCUGCCAACUCCUG